AUGUGCCCCUUCAACAAGGAAGCACACUGCUGUCUUUGGGGAUCACUUCCUUCCCUGGUAAGGUCACAGAACGAAUUCUCCAUUCUGUGGCCAGGGUCUGGGCUUUCCCUGACGGCCAAAGGCCGGCCUAUGGCAGGAACUCUGGAAUCCCUGCUGGCUCCCCUUCCCCCACCCUCCUCCCGACAGGAAUUCCAGGCCUAUUUCCCAUGGGGCUGCGCAGGGCCAGCUGGUGUGACCAGGACUCGGUCAGAACCCCCUUCCGCAUCGUGGCUGGCCGCGGGUGGGAGAAGCCCCACACCGCCCUUUUGUACUGGUGCGUGUCCUCCGUCCACGCUCCCGGCCACACGGGUCCCGCUCCCGCGAGUGAGCCAUUUCGGGUCCCGCGUACGGCGCAGCUCACAGAUCCUGUGCGCAGGUGCGCUCCCCCACCCCCGCAGAUCCAGCAGCGUCCCCCCACCACACCGCGCACUCACACACGGUCGCGCACACUCACGGUCACGCGCCCCGCAGGUGGAACGCCCCCCCGCGCCCCUGCCCUGGCCGUACCUCUGCGGCGGGCUGUGCAGGGGCGCGGCGCCCGUCCAUGGAGCCCGAAGGCCGGCCUCCGCGGCCCGCUACCGCUCCCCGCCCCGCCGCGGCGACAGCGGCAGGUUCGAGUUCACAACUGCCAGGCCCGUCCCCAACCUCCCCCCGCCGGGUUCCCAGCGCCACGUGACUACAGGAGCUGCGGAGGGUCAGUCGCCGGCUCCCGCGGCCGCGGUCUGGGGGCGGGGCGGGGUGGGACAGCCAGGGCCAGGGUGCAGGCCCUCCCCCCAGAGCGGGCCGGGUCACCUUCGCAGCUGCAGCGCCUGGGCGGCCGGCCCAGAAGGCCCUACUCAGUUGCCAUGGCUACCACCAGCCUGGGUCUCUGGGGACCGGUCGGAGCUCAAGUUUCCCGACCCUUUGUCCCUGCGGAGGAUGCGCGUCCCCAGGCGACCGCGUGGCCGGCCUCUGGUCACCGGGGCUGGUCGGUCGUUGUUGGCUUAUGAGAGGCUCAGAGCCCGUCGGGAGACUUCAAAGAGGGCGCCAGCUGCCCCGGGAGCGUCGUGCCCGGGGCCUUUCCCAGGCCGCGCACCCGGGCCGCAGUGGGGACGCUCUCAGGCGCUGCAGGCCCGGGACGGCAGUGGCGCACCUGGAAGUCUCUAG
rnacentral:lncRNA from 13 species